rnacentral:rRNA from 1 species
UACGGGGGGGGCAAGCGUUGUUCGGAAUUACUGGGCGUAAAGGGCUCGUAGGCGGCCAACUAAGUCGGAUGUGAAAUCCUGGAGCUCAACUCCAGAACUGCCUUUAAAACUGCAUCGCUAGAGUAUGGUAGAGGGAAGCGGAAUUCCGGGUGUAGCGGUGAAAUGCGUAGAUAUCCGGAGGAACACCAGUGGCGAAGGCGGCUUCCUGGACCAAUACUGACGCUGAGGCGCGAAAGCGUGGGGAUCAAACAGG